rnacentral:rRNA from 1 species
AGGUAAGCUACUAAGAGCGAAUGGUGGAUGCCUUGACUGGUAAAGGCGAUGAAGGACGUACUAGACUGCGAUAAGCUACGGGGAGCUGUCAAGAAGCUUUGAUCCGUAGAUUUCCGAAUGGGGCAACCCAAUGUAUAGAGAUAUGCAUUACCUAUAUAGGAGCGAACGAGGGGAAUUGAAACAUCUUAGUACCCUCAGGAAAAGAAAUCAAUAGAGAUUGCGUCAGUAGCGGCGAGCGAAAGCGCAAGAGGGCAAACCCAGUGCUUGCACUGGGGGUUGUAGGACUGCAAUGUGCAAGAGGUAAGUUUAGCAGAACAUUCUGGAAAGUAUAACCAUAGAGGGUGAUAGUCCCGUAUGCGAAAAACAAACCUUAGCUAGCAGUAUCCUGAGUAGGGCGGGACACGAGGAAUCCUGUCUGAAUCCGGGUCGACCACGAUCCAACCCUAAAUACUAAUACCAGAUCGAUAGUGCACAAGUACCGUGAGGGAAAGGUGAAAAGAACUGAGGUGAUCAGAGUGAAAUAGAACCUGAAACCAUUUGCUUACAAUCAUUCAGAGCACUAUGUAGCAAUACAGUGUGAUGGACUGCCUUUUGCAUAAUGAGCCUGCGAGUUGUGGUGUCUGGCAAGGUUAAGCAAACGCGAAGCCGUAGCGAAAGCGAGUCUGAAUAGGGCGCUUAGUCAGAUGCUGCAGACCCGAAACGAAGUGAUCUAUCCAUGAGCAAGUUGAAGCUAGUGUAAGAACUAGUGGAGGACUGAACCCAUAGGCGUUGAAAAGCCCCGGGAUGACUUGUGGAUAGGGGUGAAAGGCCAAUCAAACUUCGUGAUAGCUGGUUCUCUCCGAAAUAUAUUUAGGUAUAGCGUUGUGUCGUAAUAUAAGGGGGUAGAGCACUGAAUGGGCUAGGGCAUACACCAAUGUACCAAACCCUAUCAAACUCCGAAUACCUUAUAUGUAAUCACAGCAGUCAGGCGGCGAGUGAUAAAAUCCGUCGUCAAGAGGGAAACAACCCAGACUACCAGCUAAGGUCCCUAAAUCUUACUUAAGUGGAAAACGAUGUGAAGUUACUUAAACAACCAGGAGGUUGGCUUAGAAGCAGCCAUCCUUUAAAGAAAGCGUAAUAGCUCACUGGUCUAGUGAUUUUGCGCGGAAAAUAUAACGGGGCUAAAGU